AAAACGAAACCACAGGGGGGCAAAUUGAUACACUUUAAACCACAGGGGGACAAAGUGAGAAACUACGAAACCACAAGGGGGUUUUUGAAGUUUUCCCUAUCUAAUAAAAUGUGCAGUCUUGGAAUCAAACCAGCUGAUUUAAUUGGUCUGGCUUUCCUUUUGGCUUGUUGUCUAGCUGGUUUAGUAUUGGUGAAUGAUGAUGAGAUUUUUCUGACUGUUGAAAUCAAGAAUUUAAGUGCCGUCGCACGGGGUCGUGCCGGAAACUUGCUGGCACGGUACCGUAUGGUUAAUUGAAUCGUGCACAGGAUUUUAUAGAAUUGAUGACAGUAUUACCCGGUCCAAGUGUAUGUCGAGCUCUUUUUGAUGCUUAGGUGAUACAGAGCUAUCAAAGCAUGCAAAAUUGGGUGUAAGUCUCUUGUUGAGUUGGAACAACAGAAUCCAUCAGACACCUUUCUGCAUCCUACAACACUUUUGAUAGGAUCAGGCAAACUACUAAUAGCUUUCUUUGCAGAACCUUAUCAAAUAGUAUUACACCCCACAACACUUAAUCAAGUAGACUGCACAGCCUGGACAACUGGGCCCUUAUUCAUAAAUGCUUCUCUGAGUGUUCAUGAUCUCAUUUUUUUUAGGUAUGACAACUUGGCAGAUUAUUUGUUCUUCUAUGAUGAUAUAAGCCUCUAAAUAUUGGUAUAUUAUAGCAUCAGUGAGUUUCCGAACUGUAAGGUCAACCAGUGGUACCUGCAUUAUGGGUCUUUCCCAACUCAUCAGUAUGGACAAUGCUGACAACCUGGGGCUGAUCUGAGACUCAAUGAAAAAAACUAUUAGUGCCUCUUUGACCAGCUCUAUUGGAACAACACCUUUGCAGAAGCUCACAAGCCUUUCCUUUUAUUUUCUGCUUCUGCGAGAUAGUGAGUUGUUGGCAAAAGGCAGAAUAAGCAUGAAAGACACAAGUUCAAAGAAAGAUUCCUGUUUGUAAUGGGGAAAUCACCAACAUUUCAGGUACUUGACCCAUGCAGUAUUUGACUUCAUUAGUUAGGAAGCAAGUUAGUUAUGCUAAAGUUUUAGUUGCUGUUUGUAGAUGCCAGCUACUUGUUUGAUAUUAGGCCCUCUGCUUUAGUUGUUUUCUGCUUAUCGUUCAUUUCAUGAUUCUGUUUUCUGCUGGGAGUGCUGAUGCAUUUCAGGAGGAAUCUCUCAAUCUUAUUACAGAUCUUUUAAUGACAUUAUCUCAAAGAGGUUUGCAUUGUUGGUAAGAGAAUUUUAUAUAGAUGUUUCCUUAAUUAUUCAUUGCUUACUUAGCAUCAUUUUACAAGUUUCUGCCAUAUGCAUGAUGGGGGAAACUGUACUACUAUUUCAAAAUAUAUUUGGAAUGAGCUUACUAAAACCUCAUGGCCUUCGGGAUAUUGAAGUGUAACUUUCCUGUGAGUGGUGGGGAUCAGAAGUGGACGUUUGUUCAAAGUCAAUUUUAUUACUAUUUUAUGCAAUCAUUAAAUGAACAAAUCCCUAAUGUUUAGAUUUUGUUGUAUGUACACCAAUAGGCUGGUAUAAGUUAUAGCAGUAUUUUUGUUAGUUUUGAAGAUUAAAAAUGAAUAUUUUGAGACAGGUUUUAGUUUAGGUCGCUCUUACUAGUUUAAUCUGACAAUAUAUUAGCCAUUCUUGAUUUGUCUCUGUUCUGCUUCAGUGAAUUGAGUUGCCACAUGAUCUUUUGAUGCCGAAUUACAUAAGUAGCAGAUUGUAAUAAAAAGAAAAUUUAGUCGCUAUAUUUUGAAUUAGUAGCAUGGGAUCAUGUUUGGACAAGUUAAAAGGAGUGAAGGAAUGAAGUCGAAGAGAGAGAUUGAAAGGAGGAAAAGAUGCACUGCCUUCUGCUUUGAUCGAGAGGUUUAGUGUUGUUCUCACCUGCUAAUGAUUGCAUGGUCCUCAAGUAAAUAAAAAGAGAGAUGUGCCAAACAAGAUGUUUUUGCGUCAAUGCCUUUUAUUUUGGUUAUUAGAGAGCAUUGACCUUUAUUAUAUGUUUCUGCGCAGAUGAAUUCAUGUUGAUGUACAUGUUUGUACUUUACACAUGCGACUUUUUCUCUGGAGGAGUUGUGGUGUUUUCCAUUCCGAGUAACUUCUUCCUUUAGUUUUCUGCUUUUAAUGAACUCCAUUUUAAAUCAUUGAUAGGAUCUUUCUUUUCCUAUGCUCUUGCUUCACACUUUUUCAUCUACGAUUGAUGCAAAUAUUUAUUUAUUUAUUUAUUUAUUUAUUUAUUUCCUUCUCCUUUAAAGAGUUUCUCAAUAUGGUAGUCUAACUUUGUCUGGGAUUAACUUGAUAGACAGUUAUAUACAUACUGAUUAAACUCUAGAUUUAUAUAGGUAGAUGGAUAAUCUUGGGGUGAAAAUUUGCUGACUUGAUAGCAAGCUGACAGCAAAGGCUGCUUUAUCUUUGUUUACAUCACCAAUGCCAAGAGGAAGUAAAUAGAGGGUGAAAUUUGUUUUGAUUUCUUGCAAUUGAAGCUGACCAAAUGCUGCAAUUGUGCCUCUUAAGUUACUAAUCAUAAUGCAUUAGGAGCAGAGUUUCAAGUAACCAUCCUGGUGAGAGAUAAUUAAAUUACAAGAAAAUGAGGGCUAUGGUGCAAAGAUCAAUGCCUUGGCCCAGGGAACUCGCCAAAGCAGCAUAUUGACUUGACUCUACUUGACUCGAAGGACGAUGAGAAACUGGUAUGCGUAUGUUUGUGGGUACGGUGCAGGAAAACAUUGCAUUUACUCCCUCAGGAAGGACACAGUGCUAUGAUUGUAACGUAGUACGGCGUGGUCCAAAAAGCAGAGAAGAAAUGCCAGCUGAGGUCUCAGACUCUCUCACUUACACCUGAUGUACUGUUUUCAUCCUUCGCUAUCUUUCUCUUUUUCAUAUUUCAAUUUAUGCUGAUUGAUCCGUAGAAGACUUUUCAAUUCUUGUUAAUAACAAAAAUAUAUAUUGAAUCUGUGCA